GUAUAGUCAGGUUUGUACUCCACUGGUUCAUUAUUUAAGAAAAACUAGUGAUGGUCUGUUUUGGCAAAAAUAGUUCAUAAAAUUGUUUUUAUACUGUAAGAAUAUUUUACAAGAAGGUUUAUUUUAAUGUAAAUUGGUUGUAGAUAAUUGACCUAAACUUAGAGUAUUCAGAAUAGUUAUGUUUCUCUGUUUGCAGUUCCAUAAAAUCUCACAAAUAAAAGUAUUCUGAAGAUAAAUUACUUGAAUGUCAUUCGCCCCAAAACAAUAGUGAAUGUUAACAUUUAAUGCAAACAAGCAUCAAAUAGUUAACUAGAGUUAUAAACAACUAUUAGCGAAGAGCUAUUAUUUUAAUCAUUUCUGCAAGUGCAGUAAACAACUCUGAGAAUGUUUGAGUUCUAUUCUGACCUCAUCAGCAAAACUUAGAUUUUACUGUACUUCCUGGAAUAGGGAUGGGAAGAAUCACUGUAUGGAUAAGAUUGUGCAUGGGUUGUCCUAGAAAAGUUGAAUUGUUUAGAAAAUAAAAUAUUCGGAGGCUGCCCAAAAGAAAAGCAGUACUUGAUUUGAUGCAAACGUAUUAAAAUUGUAAGUAAUAUUAAAAAUUUAAAAUGAGAAAUAAUUAUUUAACAGAGGGUAAAAAGCAGUAGCAGUCAAUGACUAAUAAACAUGAUGCAAAUGGAAUUUAGGUAUUUUAUGUUCUGAAUAAGUUUUCUUCUUUAUUUCUCAUCACCUAAUUAUUUUUUGUUAACAUAUUUAAUGCAAUGGAUAUUAAAAAGUUAACACUACCUUGAACAUACCCAAGAUUUUGAUUUAUGCUGUAGAGAUAAAUGGGAUUUAACUAUUAUUAUAUCUGCCAUCUAAUUAAUUAUUCUGUCUUGAUUCUGGAGAGUGUAGAAAUAAUAAUUAGAAUGAAGUGUUUGGGCUUGGAAGCAGAUGUAGUAUAAAUGAAUAACUUUUUUGUUUGUAUGAACUCUCCUGUCCCUUGGAGGUGUGUUUUGGCUUUAAAUGAAAGUAUGAUGAAUAAAUUUGUUUUGCAAGAUUCUUGAUGUGAAAAUGUGCAUUGAAACAGCUAUUGUUAUAUUUGGGGAUGGUAAAAGAUGAACAUCCCCAAAUAGACUUUUGAUAUUAUAGAGUAUAUGCUUCCUGUGCUGGCACCACAUAAAUAAAGCACCCAUAGAAAGCUGCUGUAUUGCAGGAACAUCAUGCCAACAUAGAAAAUAAAAAUGUAAAAAACAAUAUGUAUGAUGACAGUUAGAUUAAUUCUUUAUUUAGAUUUUAGUGUAUUAUUGAAAUUUAUAUUAACUUUUGUUUGAAUAUUAUAUGAUUAUGUGUGAGUUGCUGUUUUCCAAAGUUAUGAGUUUAACAUAGAUGCAUCAGUGUGAAUAAGUUGAGUUGACUAAGUAUUUUUUAUAAUAAUUACAGUAACCACAUUUUCAUUUUUAUUUAAUGUGAUUACUUUAAUGGGAUUUUUCAUCUCAUGCAAAAAAUGGAUCCAUUUUCUUAUUUUUUAAAUUUUAGAUCAACCAAUGUGAUUUACAUAAACAUACAAACCUACUUUCUUGGGAACUUUCAGUCUAAAAAAAAUAAAAUUUUAUUCUUCAAUUUGCUUAAAUUAUUAGCAGUUUAUCCUUUCUAUCUCCCAAUGUUAUCUUUCUUUGUGUUUUUAAAUGGUAAUGAUAAAGCUAAGAAAAAAACCUACAACCUACAUACUCAGCUCAAUUUCUACAAGUACAAAAAGCUUCAAGGUCUUGCAUAUUAGAGAUGAAAUUGGUGUUAGGAGAUCAAAAUUAGUGAAUACUGAUUGGAAUGGUGUGCCGAAAAUGUCAGUUAAUACAGGAACACACACACAUACAAGCACACUUAAUGAUAUAAGUUGUCAAAUAUUUUAAACUAAAAUCUAAAUAUUUGCAUGAUCAUGUAAUUGAAACCUUAAAAUUUUAAUCUGUUGAGACUUUAAGCUAGUGAUUCACAACCUUUUUUUACUUUGUGGCUCACUGGAGAUCAAACAUUUCUAGUGAUAUUCACAUGGAAUGGUUUAUUUAUUUUGUUUUAGAGUUCAUAUUAGAAAAAUAUUACUUAUCUUUUUUUAUUAAUUAUAUUAGUGCAUAACAAAAUCAUGAAUAACAGUUAUCAAGUUAUUAAGUGUAGAUUUUCUAAAACCUCUAAUUUUAUUAAAAAAAAUCUGGGGUGCAUUUAGCUAUCUUUUGGAAUGCACCAGUGUGCUGCACUGCACCAUUUGAAAACAUCUGUUUGAAGCUAUUGUAGCUUCAAAUUUUUCACUUGUUUUAGAUACAAAACUAUUGUAAUGUUGAAUUCAAGGUAUUUUUUAAAACACAAUUUUUAUUUUUUUUAUUGACAUUGUUUUGAAUAUAUUUCUAUAAUUAUCUCUGUAUCACCUGAAACAUUACUCCCAAGCUCUAUCCCUGUCUUUUCAAGAUCCCUGUUUACAAAUGUAUGCAAAACAAACUUCUGAAUUUUUAAGCUUACUCCAUUAAUCUUAAUAGCAUAUGAAGUGGUCAUAUCCUUCCCAAAUAUUCUACCUGUUUUAUCUUCAAGCCUGCCAUGUCCAGCCUCUUGUUUCCACAUCGUUCUAAAAAUUUCAAAAUCAAGAAGAUACAAAAUAAAUCAUGCUUAAUUCAAAGCAUUAUGAAUAAUAAGCAUUGCAUUUGGCAGUAAUCUGAAUGUUGAAGGAUUAAAGUUUCCAUUAUGUUACCUUUUCUCUCCAACAAUAUUCCAGUACAACUGUGUCCCUGUAGGCUUCAGGCAACAAUCAUUAUUUACUGAGAAAAAUUUCUUAUCUUUCCCAACUUCAGUUUCUCUCUUUCUUUCUCUAUCUCAUUCUUUUUAUUUUCCUCUUUUCUUUUUCAUUCUACAAACCCACCCUAAAUAUCAGACAAUUAAAUGUAAGAGAGUCAAAGAAAACCAUGAUAAAAGGAAAAGGGAUUUGUUAUAGGAAUGCUGUUGUAGUAUCAGGUUUGUUUGUAGUCUGUGGAUAUAAGUCAGGCUUGACUGUUAAAACCUGAACUUCAUCAAUUGAAAGAAAACAAAAAUGUAUUCUACUAUGAUACCUGGUGAGGUGUGGUCUGUGAAUCCUUUCUGUCAUCAUCCAUACUCUUCACUGUAUUACCUAAUAUAUCUGGACCCGAUUGAAUUAUCGGUAAAACAUAGUGUUAAUAAACACAUGCACUGUCUAAAUGAAUGAUCCGUUCUAGCACAAAAUAUAUUUCAUGGUUUAAUGUUUUAUUUGUAUUGGAAAUAAUGUAUUUGAGUGUUUUGAAUUGUUUGUUUUAUGCUUUAAAAGACGGGAGUUCCAAAGGUUUGUCAUAUGUAAGGUAAACUAGAUUGCAUAUUUGGACUAAGGUUUUGUUCAGUCAGCUUUAUUGUUGACAAUAGUUAUUAAGGGAUGAAGAAUGGUUUUCUUUUCAAUUUGUUGAUGAGUGGGGGUCAAUUUUAAAGCUGCUUGCAUGAAAUCUCUAGUUCCAAAUAAAUAACCUGUUUAACUUACAUGUUGCAAGGUAAAGUCUGGAAUCCAAGGAAACUUUUCAUUCUUUAUGGCAAUUAUACUCAUUAACAUUUCACAGAAUCUCUCUUUAUCAUGUUUAUAUUAUUGCUUCAGUUUUUGUAGUGAAAAUACUCUUUCUGUUUUUCAAAAAUUUAGAUGAAUGUUUGUUUAGCUUUUCAUAAACUAUUUAAAGUGUGAUGUAGUGUUUGCUCACCCUAUUGACAGAGACUCUCAAUGAGCUUAAGCUCAGUUGCUAGUAAAGCAAUUUUGUUUUACUAUUUCUUUGUAUUGAUUAUUUCCUGUUAUAGUCAGUAAACAGGACUAGGCAUUGGUAGAAUCUUCUAGACUAACUUGCUUCAUCUGAUACACACACUACAUAAAACUAUUAGUGCUGACUGAAAGGCCAAACUAGUGAAAGGCAUGGGUAAACUUGUUUAUUUCCCGUAGUUUUUAAAACUGGAAGUCAGAUUAUCAGUGGAUUGUUGUUUCACAUUAGCCAUUCAAAAUAAUUCCCUAAUUACAGCUGAAUUAGUUUAUGGAGGUCCACACCCAGUGUUGCUGAAGUCCCUGUCUGUUCUAACCGAUCUAUUAAACUUGGUGCCUCAUUGUUUUAAACCAUAGUUAUAUUUAUUGUCGAUUGAAUUAACAAUCAAGAAGCUAGAGGAGAUGGUGUUGGGAAUUCAUUUGAGCAAAGAUCAUAAGUCAAGAGUUGGUCUUCCUUAUGGACUACUGGCUACAGUAGGUGUUACAAGUGUUAUAUUUUAUCAGAUUCUUUAGUUAUUUUGUUGCUAUCUUCUGGCUAUUGAGUUAACUAGAAGAAGUUAUUGUUAAGGCAGCCAAAAAAGAAA